GGGACAGGAAGUGGUCUACGAUUGCCCCACCGGAAACCUGCUGGUCGGAAGUGGCUCCCGGAAGUGCGCCACAUCUGGCCUUUGGACCGGUAGUGCUCCGUCGUGCAAGUCUGACUACUGCACGGCGCUGUCUCCGGUGCCGAGCUCCAGCCUGGACGUGCAGUGACACCGGUACGAUGAGGGGGCGCAUUACAAGUGCGACAGCGGGCACGAGCUCAUCCGCAACGACAGCCACUACUGCCAGCUCGGAGGGACGUGGAGCGGAGACGAGCCCACCUGCAAAUGAAGAUGGUGACGUGUACCUAGUCAACGGCACCUCGACUUACCAGAGCGUGGCCCGUUACUCGUGCGGCGAGAACUUCACAACGCACGGUGUGGACAUGAGGACGUGCCUAGAGACAGGUGUUUGGAGAGAGAUAA